rnacentral:sRNA from 1 species
UCGGCAAAUUCCUUAACCUCUAAACCUCUGUAACCUAGAUUUUAAGGGUUAUUGAGAGGAUUCAGUGAGUUAGUCCUUGUAACGUGCGUCUGUUCUGGAUUUCUGGGACAAGAGUCUAACUGUUUUAGUCCCCUUAGCUCAGAAAGGUGUUAGGCAUUUUUGAGAGCAUUCCUUGAGUUUCACAGCUGCAACCUCCUCCACCUCCCCUUUCAGCGGUGACUUCCACAGUAAAGCAAGCCCUACAGGAGUCCCUGGUGCAGAUUCUGCAGCCACAGCGUCGUGUAGACAUGCUCCGGGACAUCAUGGAUGCCCAGCGUCGCCAGCGCCCUUAUGUCGUCACCUUCUGCGGCGUUAAUGGAGUGGGGAAAUCUACUAAUCUUGCCAAGAUUUCCUUCUGGUUGUUAGAGAAUGGCUUCAGUGUCCUCAUUGCUGCCUGUGAUACAUUUCGUGCUGGGGCUGUGGAGCAGCUGCGUACACACACCCGGCGUUUGAGUGCCCUACACCCUCCAGAGAAGCAUGGUGGCCGCACCAUGGUGCA